UACGGGGGGGGCAAGCGUUGUUCGGAAUUACUGGGCGUAAAGGGCUCGUAGGUGGCCAACUAAGUCAGACGUGAAAUCCCUCGGCUUAACCGGGGAACUGCGUCUGAUACUGGAUGGCUUGAGUUCGGGAGAGGGAUGCGGAAUUCCAGGUGUAGCGGUGAAAUGCGUAGAUAUCCGGAAGAACACCGGUGGCGAAGGCGGCCCGCUGGGCAGUAGCUGACACUGAGGCGCGACAGCGUGGGGAGCAAACAGG
rnacentral:rRNA from 1 species